rnacentral:tRNA from 7 species
AUUAAUAAAGCCUGCUUAGCUCAGAGGUCAGAGCACCGCACUUGUAAUGCGAUGGUCAUCGGUUCGACUCCGAUAGCGGGCU